GACGAACGCUGGCGGCGUGCCUAAUACAUGCAAGUAGAACGCACAGUUCAUACCGUAGCUUGCUACACCAUAGACUGUGAGUUGCGAACGGGUGAGUAACCCGUAGGUAACCUGUCUGGUAGCGUGGGGUAACUAUGGGUAACGAUAGCUAAUAGCGCAUACUAUUAAUUAUUGCUUGGAAAUUAAUUGAAAGUUGGAAUUGCAUCACUACUUGUCGGAUCGGCGUUGUAUUAGCUAGUAGGUGAGGUAACGGCUCAUCUAGGCGAGGAAACAUAGCCGAACUGAGAGGGUGAUCGGCCGCACUGAGACGGUGACACGGCCCAGAGUCCUACGGGUAGCAGCAGUAGGGAAACUGCGGCAAGGGGCGAAAAACUGUCCGAGAAACGCCGCAUGAGUGAAGAAGGUGUUCGGGUCGUAAAGCUCUGUUGUAAGGGAAGAACGCGUGUGAGAGUGGAAAGUUCACACUGUGACGGUAUCUUACCAGAAAGGGACGGCUAACUACGUG
rnacentral:rRNA from 1 species